CACGUAGGGUGCAAACGUUGCUCGGAAUUAUUGGGCGUAAAGCGCACGUAGGCGGCUUGGCAAGUCGGAUGUGAGAUCCCUCGGCUCAACCAAGGAAGUGCAUCCGAAACUGCCGAGCUUGAGUACUUAAGAGGAUCGCGGAAUUCCCGGUGUAGAGGUGAAAUUCGUAGAUAUCGGGAGGAACACCAGUGGCGAAGGCGGCGAUCUGGGAAGAUACUGACGCUGAGGUGCGAAAGCGUGGGGAGCAAACAGG
rnacentral:rRNA from 1 species